GGGGCAUACCUGAUGGUUCGGGAGAGCGCUACACUGGCAGUGUAGAGGUCAGCGGUUCGAUCCCGCUAUGCUCCACCA
rnacentral:tRNA from 1 species